AUACGUAGGUGACAAGCGUUAUCCGGAUUUACUGGGCGUAAAGGGCGUGUAGGCGGUCUUGCAAGUCAGAAGUGAAAUUCCUGAGCUCAACUCGGGCGCUGCUUCUGAAACUGCAGGACUUGAGUGCUGGAGGGGAUAGCGGAAUUCCUAGUGGAGCGGUAAAAUGCGCAGAUAUUAGGAAGAACACCGGUGGCGAAGGCGGCUAACUGUACAGUAACUGGCACUGAAGCGCGACAGCGUGGGGAGCAAACAGGAUUAUGUACCCUGUUAGUCCGCUCCAUAAACGGUGAAGACUAGGUGUAGGGGGUAUCGACCCCCUCUGUUCCGACGUUAACACAUUAAGUAUUCCACCUGGGGAGUACGGCCGCAAGGCUGAAACUCAAAGGAAUUGACGGGG
rnacentral:rRNA from 1 species